CAUUUAUGUGGCAUGGAGACUGAGACAGACAUCCUCUGUACAGAUUCUCUCAAUUUCCAGAGAUUUCUUGCAUCUCAUCCCCAGAAACAACCUGCUCCCAAUGGUGUUCUGCCUCUGCCUAUGUUUUCCGUUGAACUGGUGGGUGUACAAGAAGCACGUCUCUCCUUCCAAGCGUGCAGAUUUCUUCACAGCCUGGAGCUGGCUGAAUGGCUUUGAAAACCAUGCAGCUUCUUGGCCAGCUGCAGCUUCUGUUUACUGUUCAACAAACCCUUGGAGUACUGGAGUAGUUGCCAAGCUAUCAGCAAGAGCUGGGAAAGCUGGACAUUACUGUAACUCACAAUUUGACGUGUGCUCCCUGUGGACGGCUGCUCACUAAAGAAAUUUUGGUUUGCCAGCUUGCCUGUUAUUCAGCCCUGUAAUCCAAAACCGAAUCUUUAAAGCAUCUGAUAGAGCCCUUUGUAACAGAAGAGGGAGCUCUCACAACACCGAUGGAAAAUCUUUGAGGGUGCUGUUUACCCAAGGAAAGCAGGAAAAAGAUUUGAAUCAAGGAGAGAUCUACAUUGCUGCAUACUGAAGACAAAUUUCAAUAUUGUCACAUAUUCUUAACAAAUUACUGGGAUAAUUCUCUAGCAAGGAGAGGAAGACAUUCACCUGAGAAGGAAAGUAGAGCCCUAUGCUAGUAUUAGAUUACUUGGCUCUACAAGGACAACAAGAUUGUUAGGCAUACUUCAAUUUCUCGGCCAAUCUCAUGGGUGAUGCAAAAUAUUGAUUCAUGUUUUUUCAGGUGUAGAAGGGAUCUGAAUCUCAAUCACCAACACUCUUGACCUAUACUCAUAUAAUUUGCGCUUGAACUAAAACAGAGAAGAUUUUUUUUUCUGAUCAUUUUCUAGAUGUAGGCCAUCAUUUACCUUAAUUUCUCAAAAGCUGUGGGAACGAGGUAUUAGAUGUUGUGAAAUGAACAUUGGAUAAAACAAAACUAAACACGCUGUAAAUCUGUUUCCUCUGGAAUACUUCUGAUUCUUAAAUUUGCCUUCCAAAUAGGCAAAUAGAGAAGCUGGUGAUUUCUAUGGCUUUAGCUUUGAUGAGAUUAUCAAUUCUUCCAUGCAGAUUCUCUUUGAGAAAUGGAGUUUAUCCUGUUACUUUGUCUUAAAAUUGAUGUCUAGUCUUAAAGUAGAGAGCAGAGCAAAAUGUAGAGCAGGUGAAAGAUUAGAAUUUACGUAGGCUUAAAACUGAUUGUUAAGAGGGAAUUUAUUGAACCUUAUAAAAUCCUCAAUUGCAUGCAUAAUGUCCCUAUACUUUACUGUUUCCUUUAAUAUAAACCAAGGAAUUAUAAGUAUGGAACAGAUGGUAAGAAACACGUUUUCCAUACGGAGAAUUGUAAGUGCAUCUUUCUGCAGAAAGGUUGUUGAAACAGUUCCUAGGACUAAAAAUUCUAACCUGUAUUUAAUCUGUGUGAAAAAAUAUAGGUGUGAAGUUUUGAUAACUGAUCGUAGUAUUAGUUUAUGAAAUGCAAAGCCUAAGACAAUCUACUAGUCCACCAGUAAAUGGAGAAGAAAUAAGGAAUUGCUCUAGAAUUAUUGCUACAGAAGAAAUAAGGAAUUGCUCUAGAAUUAUUGCAGAAUUUGACUAUGGUGAAUGUUGAUGCCCUGUGAUAGCAAGAGAAAGGGAAAACAUGCAUAACAGAACCCAGUGAGUAAUCUUUUGACAGUCUUUUUGGUUUCUCUUUGUUUGUAUUUUUUUCACCUACAUGAUUAGUGGUCCUGAAAUCCUUUCUAUCACUAGCAUCCAUGCAUUUGCAGAUCCUAUUGGUAUUCUCAUUAUGGCAUAUUCUACACAUAUGGAGCUGUCUCUGAGCUGCCUGCCUAUACCUCUCCCUCAAAAACCAUCUUCAGGACUAGUUUUGAAGAGAUUUACUGAAGAAUUCUGCUGAUCGAUGAACUCUACAACAUGUUCAUAGGGCAUAAAGAGAGGAAGAACAUUUUGGGAAGAACCUAAAGAUCUACAAGAUAGAAAUUAAUUCACUCUCAAAAACUGUGAAGAUAGGUAAACGAUUCUUAAGGUUUAUUUGUUCCUCUUAGGAGUUAAAUUCUUCUCUGGAGGUGUCAUUUUCUCUCGCAACGUGUGGAGCCAAAUGGCACAAAAAUCUGUCAAGAAGCCAAAUCCUUAACUUAUUUACACUAAAGUCAUUUCAGAGUUGUGUUAUGGUAACCAAAACUGAAGAGUUAAUAAUCAGUACAACACUUCCAGAUUAAAUUACAAUCUAAUGCUGUUUCUUCUGUUAUGUCUGGGUGAGUCAGGAAGGUUUUGAUAGUGACUUUGGUGUCAUUGGCAUGGAUUUCAAAUGGUUUAAUUAAGAUUAAUUGGAGCCUAUAUUUCUGAAAUGGGUGUUGCACAUGUAUUUUGAAUAAAGAAGUAUAAAGAGGUAUAUCUCAAAGUCAUAUCCUUGUUGAGGAUUCAAUGACCAUGUAAUUAGACUUAGAUAUCACAUUUUCCUUUACUUAAAUCAUUCUUUACUGAGUAAUUUCUUCUUUAUUGUCAGUGGCAUUGGACUAUUUCCCAGAAGCUUGCUUUACAGAUACUGUGCCCAGUG